rnacentral:lncRNA from 1 species
CCCGCCAGGAAGGCUACCAGUCAAUUUCGUUCCAAACCAAGCUUAACCCUCGAGCACAUCCCUCAACCGUUGGAUAACACCAACUAAAAGUCAUAAAAAAUGGUUUGUUCAUGCCAUUUCACCCGUUUGACUUGAAAAAUAGUCCACGCGAUGCACGUCAGAGAGUUUUCGCUUGAGUUUUUCCGUAAACUGAGUCCGAGCCCCGAGCCCACC